rfam:Clostridium sp. C105KSO13 isolate C105KSO131 genome assembly, contig: {contig151}
UGAUAGCUGUGAAGCGUGAGGUUGCUGCCAAGUGCGUGAAGCAGGAUGGCAGGUUUUCCGCGGAGCGAAUGUCAAGUUAGGAAACUGGCGACAA